UGAUCUGCAUGCGAAGGAACAGUGAAUUAUGUGAAAUCCUUCUUUAAAUCACGGGCGGAUUCUGAUCCGCUGAGCCCCCUGGGUACAGACAUGCAAAAGGCCUCACACUCCCCCAGGACACCCACUGACAUUUUGCAGCAGGAUGCUGUUGUAAUUCAGGUAUGAGGAGGAACUCAAAGCGAUGCUGUACUGUAGCAGACAUAGCCUAAAUUGUGAUCUUCAGUAGCUGGAUUAAAUGCAAGGUGACCACUCAGUGUGCUCUAAGUAGUUGCAGCAGUUUUACCUCUUUUUUUUUUUUUAGUCUUUCGUUGCCUCAGAGAAAAGCAUAAGUAUUUAAUGCAGUGUCACGUUUGUACUUCUACUCGAUGACACAGUUUGUUCACCUCACUUCAUAAUUUAGGCUACAAUCUUUAAACCUACUAGACUGUUUUAUUUACAAUGUAGCCUUUAGAAUAUACUGUUAUGAUAUGAUAAACUAUGCAUUUAUUCCA